AACAUGGACGCUUGUCACGGCGGAACGUCGCGGUCAAGGGCUCGUAAAAACGGCCAUGUUCAACCGCGAUUUUCGACACCAAGACGUGUAUUUGUUGUCCUAUUCUGAUACGCUAACCUGUGGUAGCGUGAAGUCAGACAAUAUGCCAACAGAAGUUUGCGCAAGGUGGUCGUUAACUUCACUGCUUCGAGUCACCAUUGUGAUAGAGCUUUCCCGUCAAGCUGACCAGCGAACAAUUUUUGUGGAUUUCGCUAUCAGGUAGCAAACAGACGUGCCCUGAGGAACUGUGCAGUGCUUACCACACGGUGAGCCAUGCAUCACAUAAUGGGUGCUUAUUCAGCAUCUGGGGCUAAUUCAAAGGAAGUACCUCCCAAAAGCAGUGCUAUAAGGAUGUGAGCCACAAGUUUUUUUCAACGAACCGAUAAGAUGCCUGAGAGCCACCGGCCGGCUGCUUCUGGGCUACGCAGACAGUGCACUCUCCACAGUAAAGUUAUUGCAAAGUUGUGAGACAUAACUAUGUGACAUAGAGUGAGCAUGUUUAUUGUCUGUAUUAUAACUAAUAGGAAUAUGUCUCCAAAAGUAAUUCGCUACGCAGUGUGUUUUACAUUUUCUCAAAGUGCCAUUUGGCAACUUUGGCUUUGUCUUUAUUAUUACCUUCCAGACCUUCUUGCUAACUCAUACAGAGUUCUGCGGAAAUCACAAUGUACAUACAGAAAGGAGCCAAGUGGAGCUGUUUACGGGCCAUGCACACAGUUUUAUUAGUGGGCUUUCAGCACGUUUGACAAUUAUGUAUCUGAAUACAUCUGCUAAAGUUUUGUUCGAA